rnacentral:lncRNA from 1 species
GAAAUUCUUGAUGUGGUGAUCUAUCUUCCCACACUUGUAGCAUUCUGCAUUGCUUUGCUUUUCAGGGACCUUUGGCUUGCUGUAGCUUCCACUUUUUGAAGGACCAUUUCCUCUCCUUAGGUACUUCUUGAAGUCAUUUGUAAUCAUAUUAGUUUCAUCAUCUUCUAGACCAGAACCUUCAGUGAUUCUGAGAUCAGGCUCCUUUCCUUCUUAG